rnacentral:sRNA from 1 species
UGGAUAAGAUUGCAAAUUGGGCGUGAUACUAAUGUCUGCUUAUCACUCAACCUUAAUUUAAUUGUUUAUUAGUACAUGGAUCUCUGUGUGUGUGUGUGUGUGUGUGUGUGUGUGUGUGAGAGAGAGAGAGAGAGAGCCUGCUCUAUGCUCAGUAUCCAA